rnacentral:rRNA from 1 species
UACGGAGGAUGCAAGUGUUAUCCGGAAUCACUGGGCGUAAAGCGUCUGUAGGUGGUUUAAUAAGUCAACUGUUAAAUCUUGAGGCUCAACCUCAAAAUCGCAGUCGAAACUAUUAGGCUAGAGUAUAGUAGGGGUAAAGGGAAUUUCCAGUGGAGCGGUGAAAUGCGUAGAGAUUGGAAAGAACACCGAUGGCGAAGGCACUUUACUGGGCUAUUACUAACACUCAGAGACGAAAGCUAGGGUAGCAAAUGGG